rnacentral:rRNA from 1 species
CAGUCGCCGCGGGAAUACAGAGGAUGCAAGCGUUAUCCGGAAUGAUUGGGCGUAAAGCGUCUGUAGGUGGCUUUUCAUGUCCGCCGUCAAAUCCCAGGGCUCAACCCUGGACAGGCGGUGGAAACUACCAAGCUAGAGUACGGUAGGGGCAGAGGGAAUUUCCGGUGGAGCGGUGAAAUGCGUUGAGAUCAAAAAGAACACCAACGACGAAAGCACUCUGCUGGGUCGACACUGACGCUGAGAGACGAAAGCUAGGGGAGCAAAUGGGAUUAGAUACCCCCGUAGUCCCUGUCUCUUAUAC